GCUUUUUUGUGUCGGUGAUUUUUUGUGUCGGUGUUUUUUUGUGUCGGUGCUUUUUUGUGUCGGUGCUUUUUUGUGUCGGUGCAUGUUUGUGCCGGUACUUGUUUGUGCCGGUACUUGUUUGUGCCGGUACUUGUUUGUGCCGGUACUUGUUUGUGCCGGUGCGCAUUUGUACGAUUUGUUUGUAUGUACAUUUCUGUAUACGUUUUAUGCAUUCACUUUUAAACAUGUAUUAUUUUAUUUUAUUUUUUUUCCCGUUAGACUAUGCAAAGACGAUGUUGCUGCUAUCCGAACAUACACUGCGAAUCAUUUUUAUUUUUUUUUAGUUAAGGGGUGUCCGAAAAUAUAUUUUUUAAAGGCGGUGGGACUAUACUUCCAUUGGAUGAAUACAAAAAAGGUUUGCUCUCAAAAAGAAACAAAAAGAAACUAAACAAAACUAAACAAAACUAAACAAAACUAAACCAAACAAAACCAAACAAAACCAAACAAAAAUGAAUUACAUGUGUAAAGCAAAUGUAAAAAAAAGAAAAAAACACAAUUAUAACUUUGUUUAAUGAUGCUUAUUUAAUAGUUACAAAAUUAGGCAUAUUUUAAUUAUUGGAAAUUAAAAAUAAAUAUAUUUUUUUCUUUUUUUAUAUAAAUUGU
rnacentral:lncRNA from 1 species